UAAGAAGAUGUUUGAUAAAAUGGAGAACCGUUUUGACAAGUUGGAUACAAAACUUAAUGACAUUGAAGUAAGCGUUAACGAGCUCAAGAAUGGACUCAAGUCUAUCAUAGAUAAAGUGAAUGCAAUCCAUACAACGUGUUUUCGAGUAUUAUUGAAAUUGGAGACAGAUUGCCCAAAAUAUCCAUAUAUUCUUGAUGAGAAUAAUAUGUGGAAAAAUUACAGUAAAAUACUGGGAACACAUGGUAGACUUCACUACUUGUGUGAAUGGCCUGAAGGAACUUCUAAAGGUCAUCAAGUGAAGAGUUCUAUAGGUGUUGAAUUGGAUCUCCCACCAAACUGGCUCAAGAAAUUUGCUCUAGUACUUAAACAUACAUUGAUCUUAUUAUUUAUUGGGGCCAAAGUUGGAGGACAUUUUGCUGGUGUUGGACCGAUAGUGAAUGCAAUCGUGGAUGAAACCAAGGGAAGGCUUAUAAGCUUUUUGGAUUCAUGUCUUCUCAAAAGCAAGCUAACUACAAAUCCCAAAGCAGAAGAUGUGCAAGAGAUAUUUAAGCUAGUGACAACUAAAUUUGGGAAAAAAGAAAAACAGGAGACAAUCAUGGAAAAAUAUUUUGCUCUUCAUCCCAUAAUCUUGGAGGGAAAACAAAUAUGGGUUUGCAAAGAUCAUUAAUCUAUAUUUUUAUGAGGUGGUUUAGCAAAACGAAGGUAAAUAAAUAUGCUUUAUAUAGUUAUUACUAUAUAUCUUUGGUAUGAUUCAAGUCUAUUUUGUAGCUGAAGUUAAUGAGUGUUGAAUAUCUAAUAUUUUAAGUGAAGGAAAAGGUACCAAAUAUUUUAUAUUUUAUCCCAUAAUUUGGAUGAUAAAACAAUAUAUAUUUACAAAGGGCAUUUAAAGUAAAUCAUUAAUUAUAUAUUUUGCUCUUCAUCCCAUAAUCCUGGAUGAAAGAAAAAUAUGGAUCUGCAAAGGUAUUUAACAUUUAAGUUUUUAGUUUUAUCUAACAAACACCAUUCUAAAGCAGAUCAUUAAUAUAUAUUUUUACAAGUUAGUUUAGAAAGAUGAAGAUAAAUGAACAUACUUUAUAUAAUUAUUACUAUAUGUCUUUGGAAUGAUUGGGCUAUAUUUUGUAACAAAAGUUGAUGAAUGUUGAAUUUUUAAUAAUCAAAGUGAAGGAAAAACUCAUCAAAUGAUUUCACAUUAAUGACAUUUCGAUAUGAAAACUAAAAUUGUGAAAGAAAUUGACCAAAAGACAAUCAUGACCAAAUAUUUUA